GAAACCGCGUAUUUUAUAUCCAAAUCGACUUUACUAAUCGGGGAUACCCGUAUCCAUAAAUACUCCUUCCACAUUCAUUCAUUCUUUCUUUCUUUCUUCAGCCAAGAAUUGGAAUUCACAUUUACAUCAAUGUGAUCGCAUAUAGGUAUGUGAAGUUUUAUGAAAAUGUUGAUCCUUCCAAGAUGAGUAAAGAUGGUCAAAGCUGUUGUUCUAAUGGAAUUCAUGAUCCUUACACAUUCCAAAAGUGAAUACCUGGCAGGAGUGAAGCAGGACCUGCAACACAAUCUGGUGACUAGUUCCUUUAUUUCUUGGGUAAUUCAUCGUGUUCUUUUUACUUAUUAUCUGGUAUCUGUUUAAGUAAAAUCUGUUCACUAUGUGUCUCUUUUGGUUUUUUAAUCACUAAACAUGAAAAAAGUGCUUCAUGCUGUUUAUCGACUAUCAAAGUUUGUUAGUGUGGUUGACGUGCUCUUAAGUGUGUAGUAUUUUAUGCA